CCAGGCUUCCCUGACCUUCACCAUCUCCCAGAGUUUGCUCAGACUCGUGUCCAUUAAGUCAGCGAUGCCAUCCAACCAUCUCAUCCUUUUGUCCCCUUCUCCUCCUGCCUUCAAUCUGUCCCAGCAUCAGGGUCUUUUCCACUGAGUCGGCUCUUUGCAAUAGGUGGCCGAAGUAUUGGAACUUAUGCCAUGUAGUAUACACCCCCCCAAAACGAGACAUUUCUCCACAGAAAACAACCACGCCGUGCUGUGAACACACACUUCAUGAAAAGGAGCAUUUUGUCCUAAGAGAACUUCAUAUCUCCUUGGAAGACCAAAGCUGCAGGAACUUUGAAAAUGUUAGUCUUCUAACUGCCAGUAACUGUAGGUUCCCUGGAAGCUGUGAAGAUCGUGGAGAGAGGCCUUGGGAACCACUUAUCCUGUUCCAUGCAAAGAGAAUCCCAGGGACGGGAGAGCCUGGUGGGCUGCUCUGGAGUCACACAGAAUCGGACACGAGGCAACUCAGCAGCAGCAGCAGCAGCAGCAGCAGCAGAAAAGUAAAGGUAGUAAAGGUGACCCAGAGACACUGAGUGACUCACACAUAGUCACACAGCAAGCCUGUGGUAGAGUGAGGACCAAACCCUGAGCUGUGGGCUCCUGGUUCAGUGCUCCCUGCCUCCCACCUUGUUGCCCAUGACCCAGGCCCGUUCUUGGACGUCUCACCUGUGCAUUCACCCAGGGGCCUGAGCUUGGUUUAAUAAUCUGCUAUUGCUGUCUUGAAAUUUUUAAUAAUUUUUAGAAAAGGGACCCCACAUUUUCAUUUUCCUCUGGGACCCACAAAUUAUAUGUGCUGCCUUGCUGGGACCUUGGUGGGUGUGAUUCAAGGAUUAGUCAUGUUUCCUUGGAGAACUGUGGUCCAGCUCUACAACUUCCUAUGUUCUACCUUGAGGAUCGAAGACAGAAGCUGAUAGCAAAGGAGCAUCACCCAGGACUCUGUCUCUCCUUGGCCUAGACUUCUGUUUGGUGCUUCACGCAUGGCAGCUGCUUACCAGGUGGUGUGUUCCAUGCCAGCUCUUCCUGGGGCUCCUCCCUGUGCUGGAUGGUGGCCUGGAGCAAAUGCCAACAAUGCCACCAGAGUCGACCAGUGUCAGAGUAGCUGGUUGAAAAGUAAAAAGUCCUCUCC
ensembl:lncRNA